GUACCAGUUGUCUCGCCAGAGGCAUAGCUGGGUAGCACGUUUGGAAGUGAUAAGCGCUGAAAGCAUCUAAGCGCGAAGCCUACCUCAAGAUGAGAUUUCCCACAGCGUAAGCUGGUAAGACUCCAGAGAGAAUAUCUGGUAGAUAGGCUAGAAGUGUAAGUGCCGUGAGGUAUUUAGCGGACUAGUACUAAUAGGUCGAGGGCUUGACCUA
rnacentral:ncRNA from 1 species